AGGGGUAUAGCUCAGCGGUAGAGCAUCGGUCUCCAAAACCGAGGGUCGAGGGUUCAAAUCCUUCUGCCCCUGCCA
rnacentral:tRNA from 1 species